CGAUGGGGAGUACUUCUAUUAAGGCCGGUGAUAUUCUAGCUGUUCCUUUAUCAGGUACUUUUCCAUUGCCUUGUUUUGGUGAAUUCUGCAAUGCUCUAAUCAUUUUAACCUAGUGCCUUCUUCCUCUAUGUUUUUGUCUUGCGUACUGAAAGUAGAACGUCGGUAAUGAUAAUAUAUGGAAAAGAAGAUAGAAAUAAAAAUAAAUAAUAUAAAGAAUUUUUUUAAUUGGAAAUCCUUUCGGAAAAGAAUACGGGUGAAAAAAAUUUACUUUAUCAAAUUUGAAUGACUACAAGAGGAGUUUCGACUACUCUUAUUUAUAGGUUGAAAAAAAUUUAAUUCUAAUCAAAAUCAAAUUAUGUUAUGUUAAGAAAUACUAAAUAUAUUAUACUCAUAAAUACUAAAUUUUUUUAGAAAGAAGAUAUAUUUUGUUUGACUUGACUUGCAAGUAAUCUCUUAGAAUUUGGGUCAAACAACUCUAAUAUAUAGUUUUCGCAUUGAUGAGUACAAGUUGGUGGAAUUGAGUAGUAUAUUUUUAUGCUUUUGCUUUGUUUAUGCCUGUUUCCUAUGGCAAUGGAAGUUAAGUGUUGUUUGUUUGGGUUCUUGCAGCUUGUGCUUCAAAUUUUCCUAGAUAUGCCUCAGAUUAUGGAAUGAUUGUUCCUAAUGGGAGCUAUGCUAUUACUGCCAGCCACUGUGUCCAGUGCAGUUGUGGGCCCGGGAGUCGCAAGUAAUCGAGCUUUUUCUUAGCUUAUUAGUUGUAUGAUUGACUUUACUGCUUGUGAUUAUUCUUUUUCCCUAAAUCUAACAGUACUGAUUGUAUCGUACAGUCUGUACUGUAUGCCGUCUUCAUUGGCUGUUUCUUGUUCAAGUAUGCAAUGUAAAAGCAGCAAUCUUAAGCUGGGGAAUGUUACAGUGCAACAAAGUAGUGCUGGAUGCAAUGUUACUUCUUGUGCUUAUGGUGGUUAUGCUAAUGGAACCAUUAUCACUUGGUAUACUACAGCUUUUACUUGCUUUUAUUGACGGUUCGAGCAAUCAUCUGUGUUAAACCUUGUCUGUGUUCUGCAGGUUGUCAUCAUCUCUUCAACCCCGAUGUCCAGGUAUGAGUUUGUAAAACCUUCUGAUUCCAAAACGCUCCAAGACAAGAAAUUGUUUAGUUUUAGGAUGACUCUCAGAUUUGAACUUCCCCCCAAUCUAAUGCAAUGUGAAGUUCUUAUCUGGUGCUGAUUAUCAGAUUUUUUUUGUCUAGCAUCUACAAAUACAAAUAAUGAUUUAUUUAUUCAUCAGUUUGUUACCUUCAUUGCUGGUGCUUUUUUAAAAGAAAUGAAAGUUUCAGCUUCUAUGACAACACUUACGGCUUCAAAUCUUGAGGAGCUGAACAUGAGCAGUUUCAUGUUUUGAUUUCACAAAUAUUUCCAGAUGGUCAUAGAAUGCUUCUUGACUGAUUUUAAAUUCCCAUUAAAUAAUGCAGGACCGCAGCAAUUUCCUCCCCUUCUAGCCCC
rnacentral:lncRNA from 1 species